GAUAGCUGGUUCUCCCCGAAAUAGCUUUAGGGCUAGCCUCAGGGAAAAGAUUGCAGGCGGUAGAGCACUGAUCAGGAGAGGGACCUACCCGGUUACCAAACCCAGUCAAACUCCGAAUGGCUGCAAUCAUACCUGGGAGUCAGACUGCGACUAAUAAGGGCCGUAGUCAAAAGGGAAACAGCCCAGACCAUCAGCUAAGGUCCCCAAUGCCGUGCUAAGUGGCGAAGGAUGUGGCAUUUCAUAAACAACCAGGAUGUUGGCUCAGAAGCAGCCACCAUUUAAAGAGUGCGUAAUAGCUCACUGGUCGAGAGACGCUGCGCCGAAAAUGUCCGGGGCUCAAGCACGGAACCGAAGCUAUGGCAUGAUAGCAAUAUCAUGGGUAGGGGAGCGUUCUUAUAAGGAAGAAGCAUGACCGGAAGGACAUGUGGACAAAUAAGAAGUGAGAAUGCCGGUAUGAGUAUCGAAAAGAAAGGUGAGAAUCCUUUCCACCGAAAGCCCGAGGGUUCCUGAGCAACGAUCGUCGACUCAGGGUAAGUCGGGACCUAAGCCGAGGCGAAAAGCGUAGGCGAUGGACAACAGGUUGAAAUUCCUGUACCGGAUCAAGUCGAUUGAGCGAAGGAGCGACGCAGGAGGGCACAUGAUCGCGCGGCUGGAAGAGCGCGUCCAAGUGCGUAUGUUGCAGCAGAGGAAAACCCCUGCAGCUAAAAGCAGAGACAUGAUGGGGAGUUAAAGGAAACUUUGACGAACUCAUGAAUCCCACACUGCCAAGAAAAACUUCUAGCGAGACAAGAUCCGCCCGUACCGUAAACCGACACAGGUAGGCGGGGAGAGAAUCCUAAGGUGCGCGGGAAAACCCUCGUUAAGGAACUCGGCAAAUUGCAUCCGUAACCUAGGGAGAAGGAUGGCCCCCGGUCAGUGAAGAGCAGAAACGCUCAGAGCUAAAAGGGGCGGCAGAAAAGAGGCCCAAGCAACUGUUUACCAAAAACACAGGUGCCUGCGAAAGCGAAAGCUGAAGUAUAGGUGCUGACGCCUGCCCGGUGCCGGAAGGUUAAGGAGAGAAGUUAGCGAAAGCGAAGCAUCGAACUGAAGCCCCGGUGAACGGCGGCCGUAACUAUAACGGUCCUAAGGUAGCGAAAUUCCUUGUCGGGUAAGUUCCGACCCGCAUGAAAGGCGUAAUGAUUUGGGCACUGUCUCAACGAGGGGCCCGGUGAAAUUGAAAUACCUGUGAAGAUGCAGGUUACCCGCGACUGGACAGAAAGACCCCAUGGAGCUUCACUGCAGCUUGAGAUUGAAUCCCGGUGACAGAUGCACAGGAUAGGUGGGAGGCGCCGAAGCAUUGCCCUAGGGCGGUGCGGAGCCGAUGUUGGGAUACCACCCUUCUGUUGCUGAGAUUCUAACGCGAGGAGUAACGACCCUGCGGACCCUCUCAGGCAGGCGGUUUGACUGGGGCGGUCGCCUCCGAAAGAGUAACGGAGGCGCCCAAAGGUUCCCUCAGGCCGGACAGAAACCGGCCGAAGAGUGCAAAGGCAGAAGGGAGCUUGACUGCGAGACCAACAAGUCGAGCAGAGACGAAAGUCGGGCUUAGUGAUCCGGUGGUACUGAGUGGAAAGGCCAUCGCUCAACGGAUAAAAGCUACCCUGGGGAUAACAGGC
rnacentral:rRNA from 1 species